rnacentral:rRNA from 1 species
AUUGAACACUGGCGGCAGGCCUAACACAUGCAAGUCGAGCGGAUGAAGGGAGCUUGCUCCUGGAUUCAGCGGCGGACGGGUGAGUAAUGCCUAGGAAUCUGCCUGGUAGUGGGGGAUAACGUCCGGAAACGGGCGCUAAUACCGCAUACGUCCUGAGGGAGAAAGUGGGGGAUCUUCGGACCUCACGCUACCAGAUGAGCCUAGGUCGGAUUAGCUAGUUGGUGGGGUAAAGGCCUACCAAGGCGACGAUCCGUAACUGGUCUGAGAGGAUGAUCAGUCACACUGGAACUGAGACACGGUCCAGACUCCUACGGGAGGCAGCAGUGGGGAAUAUUGGACAAUGGGCGAAAGCCUGAUCCAGCCAUGCCGCGUGUGUGAAGAAGGUCUUCGGAUUGUAAAGCACUUUAAGUUGGGAGGAAGGGCAGUAAGUUAAUACCUUGCUGUUUUGACGUUACCAACAGAAUAAGCACCGGCUAACUUCGUG